CUGCAGCCUCAGGCCCGGGUGACUCCAGCGGAGGAGCUCUGGGACACCCUUGUCUAGGGAAGAGGUCUUACUGGCUGCCCUCAUCUGACUUUGUGUCCCCAGGCCCCCAGCCAUGGCCCUGUCCCUGCCUCUGGGCCCUAGACUUGGCUCAGAGCCCCUCAGCCACCCACCGGGAGCACCUAGGGAGCCGGACAUUGUUGGAUGCACCGUCUGCCCCGCGUCCGGAGAGGAGAGCACGAGCCCAGAGCAGGCCCAGACCCUGGGACAGGACUCCUUGGGCCCUCCUGAGCACUUCCAGGGUGGGCCAAGGGGCAAUGAGCCUGCCGCUCACCCCCCAAGAUGGUCAACACCCUCUUCCUACGAGGACCCAGCUGGGGGCAAACACUGUGAGCACCCCAUUUCUGGCCUGGAGGUACUAGAGGCUGAGCAGAACAGCCUGCACCUGUGCCUGCUGGGGCUGGGCCGCCGGCUGCAGGACCUGGAGCAAGGCCUGGGGCACUGGGCAUUGGCCCAGAGUGGGAUGGUGCAGCUGCAGGCCCUCCAGGCGGACCUACGAGGGGCAGCUGAGCGUGUGGAGGCGCUGCUAGCGUUUGGUGAGGGGCUGGCACAGCGGAGUGAGCCCAGGGCCUGGGCAGCCCUGGAGCAGAUCCUGCGGGCCCUGGGAGCUUACCGAGACUCCAUCUUCCGGCGGCUCUGGCAGCUGCAGGCCCAGCUGGUCAGCUACAGCCUGGUAGGGCCCAUCUUGAUACCCCCCACCCAACCCAGGCCCCAACCUCAUAGCCUCCAUGACCUCUGUCCUUUGACCCAGGUGUUCGAGGAGGCCAACACGCUGGACCAGGACUUGGAGGUCGAGGGAGACUCGGACUGGCCAGGACCUGGUGGGGUCUGGGGGCCCUGGGCACCCAGUAGCCUCCCCACUUCCACAGAGUUGGAGUGGGAUCCGGCGGGGGACAUUGGGGGCCUUGGGCCCUUGGGACAAAAGACAGCCCGGACACUAGGAGUGCCCUGUGAGCUGUGUGGCCACAGGGGGCCCCAGGGCAGGGGACAAGGCCUUGAGGUGAGAGCAGACCCCCUUGAGGGACCUUCUGCCAGGCACCCUGGGGACAUCUCUGCGCACCUUCUAGCAAGAUCCUGCCCUUCCAAGGAGGUGUCAGUGGCUCUGUCUCCCCCUCUAUCUCUGUCUCUCGGUGUCUCCUUCUGUCUCACUGCUUCUCUCUCUCGUCUGUCUCUGUCUACAUCCUCAAGCCCCAUCUCAAAUUCACUCCUAUCCUGAGGCCCCCAGAUGAUGCCCCACUCACCUCCUGACUGUCCCAGUCUCUCCUGAAGUGCCACCUCUUCAGGGAGGCCUGUCGUGACCUCCAAACAUGAGCACUCCUAUCUUCUUACUUUAUUUCCUAACAGCACUCACCACAGCUUGACUUUGUACAUUUACUUAUUUUUAAAAUUUUUUAUUUAUUUUUUGAGAUGGAGUCUUACUCUGUCGCCCAGGCUGGAGUGUAGUGGUGCAAUCUUGGCUCACUGCAAACUCUGCCUCCUAGGUUCAAGAGAUUCUCCUACCUCGGCCUCCCGAGUAGCUGGGAUUACAGGUGUGCACCACCAUUCCUGGCUAAUUUUUGUAUUUUUAGUAGAGAUGGGGUUUCAUCAUGUUGGCCAGACUAGUCUCGAACUCCUGACCUCAGGUGAUCCGCCUGCCUCGGCCUCCCAAAGUGCUGGGAUUACAGGCCUGAGCCACUGUACCAGGCCUCAUUUACUUAUUAAUUUAUGGUCUCUCUCCUGUCAAAUAUAAGCUCCACGGAGGCCAGGAAUUUGCCUAUUUCCAUCCCCACUGUGUCCUCAGCUCCUAGAACAGUUCCUGGCUUGUAACAGAAACUCAUUACACAUUUAUUGAAUGAAUGAAUAAAUAAUGUCUCUCCUCUCUUGGUUUCUUUGGCUCUGCCCUUGUCUGUCCUGUGAGAUCUCUCUGUUCCCCCAGAAUCUCAUCUCUAUGACAUCCCUAUCCUGGCCCUCCCCCAACCACGUUUCCCUUUGUUGCUGGUUCUCCAGGAAGCAGACACCUCUCACUCCCGACAGGACAUGCUAGAGUCUGGCCUCGGCCACCAGAAACGCUUAGCAGGUCACCAAAGACGCUCCCUGCUCCGGAAGCCUCAGGACAAGAAGAGGCAAGCAUCUCCUCAUCUCCAGGAUGUGAGGCUGGAGGGGAAUCCAGGGGCCCCCGAUCCUGCAUCCAGGCAGCCUCUGACCUUCCUCCUAAUCCUCUUCCUCCUCUUCCUCCUCCUGGUGGGUGCCAUGUUUCUCCUGCCCAUGUCAGGAGGCCCCUGCUGCUCUAACGCCCGAAUACCCAGGACACCCUACCUGGUGCUCAGCUAUGUCAAUGGUCUUCCCCCAGUCUGAUGUGUGAAAUAAAUGGUCAUUGUCAAA
rnacentral:sRNA from 1 species